UACGUAGGUGGCAAGCGUUGUCCGGAUUUACUGGGCGUAAAGAGCGCGCAGGCGGUCGUUCAAGUCGCGUGUGAAAGCCCCCGGCUCAACUGGGGAGGGUCACGCGAUACUGGUCGACUCGAAGGCAGGAGAGGGUAGUGGAAUUCCCGGUGUAGAGGUGAAAUUCGUAGAUAUCGGGAGGAACACCGGUGGCGAAGGCGGCGACCUGGGUCGACACUGACGCUGAGGCGCGAAAGCGUGGGGAGCGAAACAGG
rnacentral:rRNA from 1 species